CUAUGGACAACUUGCCAAGGAAUGUUGUACUCACUUCCUCUGUUGGUCUUGCGGUUUUGACAACCGGCUGGGCGUAUGCCAUUGGUGUUUUCGAUUGGAACAGAAUGGGGGACAGUGAACCUUCGGAUCAACAAGGUGUUGUGUAGACGCACCCCAUGAAUAAUCUAUGAGACUUUUAUAUUUAUGUAAGAGAAAUGAAAUGGUGCGGACAAGGAGAAGACUGUAUGCUUGUUAAGUAAGGCCUUGUUUAGAUCCAAAAUUUUUUCUGUUUUUGACACUAGCAAUUUCGUUUUUAUUUGACAAACCUUGUCCAAUCAUGGAGUAACUAGACUCAAAAAUUUAAUUGGAUGUUUGACUGUUUGGUUUGUGGAAUGAAGCUAUCUAUCACAAUUUCACUACUUAGUUUUUUUUGUUUGGUUUGUGGAAUAGAAUAAGGCCUUGUUCAGUUCACAAAAAGCAUGGUUUUUGGCUACUGUAGCACUUUCGUUUUUAUUUGACAAACAUUGUCUAAUCACGGAGCAAUUAGUUUUUAUUUUUAUCUAUAUUUAAUGCUCCAUGUAUGCGACCAAAGAUUCGAUGUGACGGAAAACCUUGAAAAUUUUUGUGAACUAAGCCCUUGUUUAGAUGCGAAAAGAUUUUGGAUUUCGCUACUGUAGCACUUCAGUUUGUUUGUGGCAAAUAUUGUCCAACUAUGGACUAAUUAGGAUCAAAAGAUUUGUCUCGCGAUUUACAGUUAAACUGUGCAAUUAGUUUUUAUUUUUGUCUAUAUUUAAUGCUUAAUGCAUAUGCCAAAAGAUUUGAUGUGAUGGGAAAUCUUGUGGUUUUCAGGUGAACUAAGGCCUUGUUUAGUUCGCAAAAAUUUUCAAGAUUCCCCGUCACAUCGAAUCUUUGGUCUCAUGCAUGGAGUAUUAAAUAUAGACAAAAAUAAAAACUAACUGCACAGUUUACCUGUAAUUUGUGAGAUGAAUCUUUUGAGCCUAGUUACUCCGUGAUUGGACAAUGGCCUUGUUUAGUUCGGAAAACUUUUUGGUUUUCGGAACUGUAGCACUUUCGUUUUUAUUUGAUGAACAUUGUCCAAUUACGAAGUAACUAGGCUUAAAAGAUUCAUUUCGCGAUUUACAGGUAAACUGUGCAACUAGUUUUUAUUUUCGUCUAUAUUUAGUGCUUCAUGCAUGUGUCACAAGAUUCGAUGUGACGAGGAAUCUUGAAAAAAUUUUAGAUUUUGGGGUGAACUAAACAAGGCCAAUGUUUGUCAAAUAAAAACGAAAUGCUACCGUAGCCAAAAACAAAAAUUUUUGCGAACUAAACAAGGCCUAAACAAGACCUAAGUUGAUCUGUCGCCACCUUGUUACUCCCAAGCUGAAAUGUGGUUAUUAUACUAAAUUUGAGCAAUUGAAUAAAUUUGAGCAAUUGACUCCUGAUGCAUCACUCGGUCACUCCAUCUAAAAUGGGUUGACGUCCGAAACCAAACACUCCAAAAGAGCAUCUCUAGUAGUUUCCACUAAAUUGUUUGGUAAAUAAAUGAGUUUUUCAACUAAAAAUAGGAGGAUUGUUGACUUUCUCCAACGUUUACAAUAUUUUGCUAAAAAAAAAAGACUUGGCCCACUCGACACUCAUGCUCACUGCUUCCUCCCAACUGCUUCCUCCCUAACUUCCAGAACUCACUGCUUCCUUCCCCACUUCCAGAACUUGAGUGACUCUAAAAUACUAUUCUUCACUUGGCCCCCAACACAAUCUAUCAUGGUAUUGGUAAUCACUUCAGUUAGCUCUUUAGCCAUCUUCUUAACCUUGUCCUCGUCCACAUCAUUAGCCAUGUUUUUGAGUUCUUCGGCUAACUUGAUAAACUUUUUCGACGCUACCUCCGCCACAUGUGGUGCUACCACCUCCAUAACUAGGUAGCAGCCUAAAAUUAUACCUACUAGGAGCCAACCGAAGAAGUAAAGUGGUAGCAGCCUGACUUGAUUCUUCAACUUCUCACUCUCGAGCUCCAUCUCACGCCUAUGAUUAACAUAAACAACAAUCAAACCAGAAUGUUUGAGUUAAAUAAGAUGCUUCAUUUCAUAUUAGACGUCUCAUACAUACUAAGUCAUAAUAAGCACAGCAAGAUUCUUAACAAAAGACACACCAAGAUUAUGCUAAAUAACAUGCAUACUAGGACAUUUAUUAGUUAAUUGGUUGAGCACCAUUAGUUUCAGUGGCACAUCACUUUACAAGGUCGCACAAGGUCUUAGGUAUGUUAACUGAGAUUUACUAGGGUCAUGAGCUAGCUUUAGUAUACGUACACAACAUCAAGCUAAAAGAAUCAACUUAGGCAAGCAAGAUUGUGGACUACAACACAACAAUUACUUGUUUUAACCAUAACUACAAGCAUCCAACAAACAUGGUCCUUAGCUUUUUGGAAAGCUUAUUAAGCUUUAUACAACUUUCUUACUAUUAUCACUCAGAGUUGAUUCAAUAACUAACAAGGUCAAACAUUACCAAGAAGCAUUUUUGUCUAGACUUAGACAAAAUCUGACAUUAAGCUUUAGAUAUUUGCAACUGGAGUUCUAGUUUACCAAAAGUUGUGUUCUUUAACAUUUUGGAAAGCUUUUUAGUUACUCAAACAACCACACGCAAGAAAAUCAUCACAUAGACAAACUAUCCAUUACUUAUUUUAUUAACAAGAGAGCAUAAAACAUAUGCCAUUCAAGAGCUCAACCAUUACUAGCAUAACUCAACAACAUUUCAUAAGAAUCAUCACAAGAAUUACAUACAUGUUCAUUUAUUAGCAAAACUUUCUUACGUUUUAUAGAUUAAAGAGAUAUUUAAUAAAGGGGCGGUAUGGCAAACAUUUAGUUUGGACCUGAGAUUUUUAUGGUUGGAAGAGGUUGUCAAAGCAUGACUACUGUAGAAACAUUACAUGCUCAGGUUUAAUAGAUUAAUUAUUUCAAUAAGAACAAGUUUUUAUUGCAAUAAAACAUGUGAGAGUAAGUUAAAUCUAAAGAUCCACAUUUUCUGUAUAUCCAUGCACUUAUAACUGAAUAAACAGUAAACGUAAUAGAGAUGACGUGCUGAUGAGUUUACCUGACCAAAAGACUGAACUUCACAUGGAGGUAGACACAGGUUUCAAUACGACGGACAUGGAACUGAAGCUUGGCCAAUUUUGCCAUGAUUUUGCUUUGAUUCUGCAGUCUUGGCUUCAAGGACUCGUCAUCACCGCCAGACUUCUGGCCACCAGAUUUCUCAUUGCCACCGGCUGUGGAAGAGUAGCCACGCCGACCGGUUAUACCCAACACGGUGGGGAUGGUGCAGAACCGAGAGCCGUUGGGCGCGGCACCAGCGACGGCGGCCGCCUCCUUGGCGCCGACCCGGGCGCGGUUCUCGGUCUUGGGGCCCUCAAGGCCGUUGGACCCAGCAGCAGGGAGGAGCAGCGCGACGAAGAGUCGUGGGUGCGUCGGCACUAGAAGCACGCGCGAGGCGGAGAGGAUUGCGGCGGCGGCGGCUGCUGCCAUAGGGCACUCAAGCGGCGGCCCCAGGAACGCAGCGCCGCGUGGUCCUAGCGCGGCGUCCUCGACACAGAGCAUCGCACCGCCGUAGUCGCCGUUCGUGCCGUAGGCAGAGUCGACCACCAGGAACGCGGAGUCACCUCCUCCCAUGGCGAAGGCAAAUCCACUGCCUUGGGCACCGGUGGUGAUGGGGACGGCGAGGGCCAGGCACGAACGAUUGGGCGCGGCGCCGCCAGCGACGGUGUCCGCCUCCCUGGCGCGGACCCAGACGUGAUCGUCGGACCCGGAAGGGAGGGAGAUAGGGCGCUCGAGCGGCGGCGCCAAGAACGCAGCGCCGCAUGGCCCUAGUGCGGCGUCCUCGACGCACAACAUCGCCCCGCAGUAGUGGGCAGAGUCGACGCCGACGACCACCAGGUGCGUGUAGUCACCUCCUCCCUCGGCAGCACCGCCGGGCUCCUGAGCGUCGCGAUGGCCCACGGAGAAGGGAAAUCCACCGCCUUUGGCUCCGGUGGUGGUGAUGAGGAUAGCGAGGGCGAGCCGCGAACGGUUGGGCGCGACGCUGCCAGCGACGGUGUCCGCCUCCCCGGCGCGGACCCGGGCGUGGUCGUCGGACCCGUCAGGGAGGAGCGGGGCGAAGACGAACCUUUGGAGCACAGGCGCCAGCAAGCGCGGGGCUCCGGGGAGGAUGGCGGCGGCGAUAGGACGCUCGAGCGGCGGCGCCAAGAAGGUAGCGGCACGCGGCGAGAGGGUGGCUGCGCGGCGAGACUGCUUGCCGGCGGCGCGAGACAGUAGCUGAAGCGGGGUGGGGGUUCGCGACGAGCCAGUGGGGUUUUGGGGGGUUAUGGAGGAGGCGGCGGCGGUGGUAGGGCGCUGGAGCGGCGGCGCCAAGAAGGUAGCGGCCGUGCGGCGGGACUGCUUGCCGGCGGCGCGAGCCAGGAGCUGGAGCACUCCGGCCAUGUCUCCGGGUGGGGUUUGCGGCGAGGCAGUGGGGUUUUGGGGGGAGGGGUAAACGAAGGCGGCGGGAGGGGGAUCAGAGCAGGCAGGGUUUUCCUCCGUCCCUCACCGUUGCCAAUGACAAUGGGUUUCGAGAGGCCGAGAGGGGAGUGGGUGGUUAAAGCAAAACUGGCUGAGGCGAAGGGAAGCGGGGACGUACGGCAGUGCAUGUGGCGACAAUGGAGGACGAAGCCCUGCUGCUGCUGCUGCGCUGCGACUGCGAGUGCUUUUCUGUUUCGCUCUUGCUCAGGCUCGUCGGCAGUCGCCUCUGUCUGGCCUUCCUCUCCAUGAGUUUUGAGUGCGUAGCAUCGUGGUGCGUUAUUCCGCCGGCCGUCGGUACACCACCAGGUAACUACGUGCAGCACGGACCGCCGGAGACCGGCCGGCAGGCCGGGCGUAGAGGUAGUAGAGCUCUAUCGCCUCGUCUCGUCGAAUGUGAGGAGAUCAGAAUGCGUCGCACGCCAAACCCCACGCGGCCGUCAGGCGUCAGUGACCGGUCACACUGACCUACUGCGCGCGCUGCCAAUGGGCGCCACACUGGCCUUGUAUUCCAUCUCAAAACCUAAAAUUUUUUAAGAUUUCUUUUCAUAUCGAAUCUUUAAACGCAUGCAUAGAGUAUUAAAUAUAGACAAAAAUAAAAUCUAAUUGUACAGUUUGGUCGGAAUUUAUGAGACGAAUCUUUUGAGCCUAGUUAUUCUAUGGUUGGACAAUAAUUACCACAAACAAACAAAAGUGUUACAGUGUCGCGAAAUUUUCCCUUCAGAAACUAAACGCGGCCUAGUUGGAUGUGCCACUCGAUGUGACGAAUAAUCUUAGGUCUGGUUUACUUCAACCAAAAAACCAAAAAAAAUUAAAAUUUUGAAUCUUGUGGCAAAUACAUAAAACAUUAAAUAUAGAUGAAAACAAAAACUAAUCAUACAAUUUACCUGUAAAUCGUGAGAUGAAUAUUUUAAGUCUAAUUAGUUUAUAAUUAGAUAAUAAUUAUUAAAUAAAAACAAAAAAGUUAUAGUAUGUAAAACUAUUUUUUUUGGAAUUAAACAAGACAUUAAUCCCUUGGGAAGAAAGGGCCGGAACGAAAGGCUGCUUGUAGCCGAUCGUAGUCCUUUAGACAGAGGGUGUGUGUGGGUGGCCGGGGGGGGGGGGGGGGGAGCACGCUACUAUCUACAAGUUCAAACACAUGUGUGUCACCAAACUAUACUGUUGAUUGAUGCAUUUCUUUUAUAUAAGAAGAAACUAAUUAAGUCAAGUUAAAAGUUAAACAACUAUUUACUUAGGUAGGACAACUAAAAUGAACUACACGUACUCCCAUGUGAUAAAUAAAAAAAAUAAUUGGCAUGUUUAACUUUAUUACAGAGUAUUCGUUAUUUUAUGCGCUAGAUUCUUAAGAUGCAUCAAGUGAGAUUUUGUAACAAGUAUAUCUGAAUACAACACAUAAAUAUAUACAUUUCAAUUCUAAUAUUCGAUCAAAGUUUUCAUCAUAAAUUAAUUAAUGUUUUCCUUAGCGGAGGAGUGCUUAUGUAUGGGUGUGCGUCAUACGGUGUCAUCUACUACAUGCGCGCGGUGAAAUACUAUACGGCUAGCAGACGGAAGGCCCUGUUUAGAUUGUAGAUAAAAAUUUUUUAGGUGUCACAUCAGAUGUGUCGGAAGGAUGUCGGGAGGAAUUUUUAGAAACUAAUAAAAAAACAAAUUACAUAGCUCGUCAGGAAACUGCAAGACAAUUCUAUUAAGCAUAAUUAAUCUGGCAUUAGCACAUGUGGGUUACUGUAGCACUUAAGGCUAAUCAUGGAGUAACUAGGUUUAAAAGAUUCAUCUUGCGAUUUUUAACUAAACUGUGUAAUUAGUUUAUUCUUUUAUUUACAUUUAAUGUUCCAUAUGCAUGUGUCCAAAGAUUCGAUGGGAUGGAUAAAAAAAUUUUGGGUGAGGAACUAAAGAGGGCCUAGUACACGCUUGGAGCCUUUGGUGCCAUAGCCCAAAGUAAUACCAGCUGUCUCCACUCUUUAGUAGCAGUAGCAGCGGGUGUUUGGCUGGGGUUGUUAAAGUUUAACACAUACUGUAACAUUUUCAUUUUAUUUGUCAAUUAGUAUCAAUCAUAGUCUAAUUAGACUCAAAAGAUUUGGUUCGUAAAUUACUUUUUAGUUUUUUAAAUAGUCUAUAUUUAAUACUCUAUACAUGUGCCUAAACAUUCGAUUUGACGGGAGUUAAAGUUUAAUAACUGGACCAAACAGGGUACUUGGUCUGUAAAUAACUGUCUUUUACGCUUUACAAGAAAUAAUUUUAAUUACAUAGAUAUUAAUAAUAUUAAUAUUUAUGAUACAUAAUUAGUAUCAUUAGAAAGAUAUUUGAAUCUAGUUUUUUUAAUAAUUUUAUAAAAAUAUAAAUGUUGUACGUAUUUCCUAUAAAUUAAAUUAAACUUAUGGCAUAUACAUCAGCGAUGACAAUUAGAUUGGGACGCAGGAGUAAGGCCUUGUUCAGUUCCCAAAAUUUUUUGAUUCGGGAUACUGUAGAACUUUCAUUUUCAUUUGACAAUUAUUGUCUAAUAAUGGACUAACUAGACUUAAAAGAUUCAUCUCGCGAUUUACAGGUAAACUGUGUAAUUUGUUUUUUGUUUUCGUCUAUAUUUAAUGCUUCAUGUAUCUGACGAAGAAUCUUAAAAAAAAAAAUUCGUUUUUGAAGUGAAAGAACUUGGGCCUAAAGUAAUACUCCUCUACAAGUACAAGUACAAGUACAAGUACAAGGGCACAGUAAAAAACCCGGAAACUCUCAAGCAGAGGCUGUGUAAAAACCAGCAAUGGCUGCCUCCUACUCCUGCUACGGUACCAGUACACCGAGGCCUUGGUUAGUUCAAAUUUUUUUAUAAAAUGUACACUGUUGUAUUUUUGUUUGUAUUUGAUAAAUAUUGUCCAAUUAUAGAUUAAUUAGUCUCAAAAGAUUCGUUUCAUAAAUUACAAAUAAACUGUAUAAUUAGUUAUUUCUUUUAUUUAUAUUUAAUGUUUUAUAUAUGUGGUGUAAAAUUCGAUGUAACAAAUAAUAUGAAAAAAUUUGCAAACUUUUUUAAAACUAAACAAGACGCUACACCUAGCACCUGCAACUCCUAUUGGAACGGUCAAAAGCCAGAGAUAACGCACGAUCACAUCACGCAAUUGGCCCGCCUCGCCUCGGUUCUCUGAUAGGCAGCUUUUGAACGGUGAAGAUAGUACAUGCCCAGAUGUACAUACCACCAGACAUUUUCGCACUGCCGGGUGCCUGCCUGAAUUCCUUUCUGUCUGUACUGCUCCGCCCGGUGCCUUCUAUCAGCUCCCUCCACCGCACCAUCCAUGCUCUCCUCUCCUCUAGUACCGUAGGCUGUUGGCUACCCUUGUUUAGUUUGUAAAAAAAAUUAAGAUUUUCCGUCGCAUCGAAUCUUUCGACAUAUACAUUGAAUAUUAAAUAUAUAAAAAAAUAAAAAUUAAUUACACAGUUUAUCUAUAAUUUACGAGACGAAUCUUUUAAGUCUAGUUAGUUUAUAGUUAGACAAUAAUUAACUAAUACAAACGAAAAUGCUACGGUUUCUAAAAUCCAAAAAUUUUACCAUGUGAACAAGACCUAAAACCAAGGCUGUUGGCUCUUGUUCUGCCGCCUGUUAGCCUCUCGCCUCUCCACACACGACUCAACCUGCUUUCACCGGCUAUACAUUUUUUUUUUGGAAAAAAAGGGAAUUCUGCCAAUGCAUAAAAAGACUCUUUUUAUGUAGUGUGUACAUAAACAAAAAUUACUCCAUCUGUUUUUGCAUGAAUCAGGCCCCGUUUAGUUCUAAAAAAUUUAUAAAAUUUUCUAAAAUUCUUCAUCACACCUAAUCUUUGGACGCAUGCAUUGAGCAUUAAAUAAAAAUAAAAAAUAAAUAAUUGCAUAGUUUUGCGAAACGAAUCUUUUGAGCCUAAUUAGUCCAUGAUUGGACCAUAAUUAUCAAAUACAAACGAAAAUACUACAGUAACCAAACCCAAUUUUUUUCACCAACUAAACAAGGCAUCAAUUCCUAGAAUUCAUGUCAGUCAGACCUUUUUAAGUUUGACUAACUUUAUAAAAAAGAGGAAUGAUACCUAUGACAUAAAAUGAACAUCUUAUGAAAAUAUAUUGUAUGAUAAAUCUUAUUAUACUAAUAUGAUACUAUAAAUUCUAUUUUUUUAAAAAAAUGGUCAAAUUUUAAAAAUUUAACUUAAGAUAACUUUGGAAAUCUAUUUAUUUAGGGACUGAGGGAGUAUAUCAUCAAUAGACUAAUAUUCCAUGUAUCCUUUAAUACAAACUAAUGUUGAAUUUAUUAAAGUAAUUGAGGAUAAAGAUGUAUUGUGAGUAACAUUUGAUAGUCAAAGUACGUUUCUAAAGACUUUUUUCUUCACAAAUCCUAUAUGCAUUAGACAAAUAAACGAAGGGAGUAUUAUUACUAACGGAGAUGAUGUAGGGCCGCAACCCUAUUCUGUUGUACUACUUUAGUCGUACUUUUCAUUGAAUAAACAAUAUUUUUUAUCACAAUAUUUCAACAUAAGCCAAAUUUUAGCAAAACUACUCGGACCAAGUGAUUAUACACAUCCGUUUGCGCUGCCAGUAGAAUAUUUGCCCACUUCAAAUUAUGGCACUCGUUUGAUUAUAUUAAUGCACAACAGUGAGGUUGUAUAAUAUGAAUCUUACUUUUAUUACCAAUUCUUAUGAAAAAAAUUACAAUUGAUGAUUUUGGCAGACACUCCACUUGACCACCUAUGCACUACGCAAGUGGGCCCAAACCCUUUGGAAAUACUCUUAGUUGAUUAUAGAGGAGGUAGACACAAGAUGAUUUUGGCAGACACGCCACUUGACCACCUAUAUGCACUACGCAAGUGGGCUCAAACCCUUUGGAAAUACUCCUAGUUGAUUAUAGAGGAGGUAGACACAAGAAACGAUCGACCACUGGAAAUUGUGUUUUUAGAUGGGGUUCCUUGUGCGAGUCGACAAAAACCAUUCAAACUUUUUUACAAUUUUUAAUCUUCUCAAUGAAGUCGUGUUCAGAAUGAAAAUUUAUGGAGGGUAAUAUCGUCUCCAUGCAUCUAUAGUAAAAUUUAUGUAUUGUUUGCAAACUUUUUGGCAUACACGUUUGAAAAAUUUAUGGAGGGUAAUAUCAUCAUUGUGACAUCUUUUCCUUAUACUUCACACGUGUACGACAUUCCGAAUACUUAUACAAAAAUAAUUGUGAGAAUUACAGUUGUAGAAGGGGAUACACAUGAUAUAUGCCCCAUAAAAUCUCAUUGGAACACAAUUUAAUUAAAUGGACUAAAAAUACAAUUGGAGGUGCUUUUAGCCUUUUUCUUAUCAACAUUAAGAGGUGGUUCACAAAAAGGAAUUGUAUAUGAAGAUAACCAUUUUUUACGAGGGGGUAUCUUAAUUAUGUAAACUGCGUCUCGAAAUCACUUCCUGCAGCAAAGGUUCAAGAAAGGCUAUUAGCAAAAACUAUGUGGUGGUAUGGUAUCUGUUUAGAAAGGUUCUUAAGGAAAAUCGCGUGAUUCUAUGGGUCCUUUUUGUAAGUAAACAUACUACUAAGUACUAACAGAUGACAAAUUUGUUUCAUAAAAAAUAAAAAAACAAAGGACAAAUUUCAUGAUCAGCCCCAUGUCCUUUUUUAACUAAGUAGUGCCGGCCACCAACGUCAGCUCCAUGUUCAUCGAAAAUUUUACAAAAUGGUUACUGUAACACUUUCAUUUGUAUUUGAUAAUUAUUGUCUAAUUAUAGACUAACUAGACUCAAAAGAUUUGUCUCGCAAAUUACAAACAAAUGCAAUUAGUUAUUUGUUAUCUAUAUUUAAUUAAUGCUUCAUGCAUGUGUCGCAAGAUUCGAUGUGACGGAAAAUAUUAAAAAAAUUUACAGUUUUUUUAGAACUAAACAGUAAAAGUCUUCUUUUCCAUUUUGCAUCCCGGAAGAGACAGAUGUUCUCUUUUAUUUUUAUUUUUAUUUUUAUUUUUUUUAGAAAAUAAGAGCAGACUACAUACUUCAAAAGGAGAAGACUACAUACUUCAAUAUUGUGUUGAGUUAAAUUCUCCAACCUUAAUUAAGUUUAUAGGAAAAUACACCAAUAUUUACAUGUAAACAAAUAGUUUCUUUAGAAAAUAAGAGCAGAUAAUAUUUAAAGGAAGAGAAAAUCUUUUUUUUUUUUUAAAAAAAAACAUAGAGGAAGAGAAACUUUUUGUUUUUUUUACAACUCUUCUACGAGAAGACUCCGUGUAUUCCAGCAAACAUGUGUUUUCUCAAGGACUUUUGUGUGAAAAUUGUGGUCCACUCGUAUUCCUGGACGCGAGCGAAACCGAACCGGAGACAGACACGACGAGCUGCCCGAUUCCUUCCCCACAUCCAUCGUCAAAAGGAGAAGAGAGAGAGAGAGAGGAGCAAACCCUAGCUCCAGCUUGCCUCCUACUCCGCCAUCAUCCAGAUCCGGCCGGUGCGUGCGAUGGCGCUGCGCGUUCUGGCCCGUAAGCUGAGGUUCCCUGCCACGUCCGUUCUCCAGCGGGCGUCGACCCCCGUGGUGUCGCCGCCGGCGAGCUCCCGACUUCUCACCUCCCACUCCUCUCAGGUGCGUGUUCUCCGUUUUCUGCUCUGGAUUAUAUUGAUCAGCGGAGCAAUCUUCUUCUGAGAUCAUGAGCGCGCGGUUAAUAUUGCGAGCUGGACUGGAUUCGCCUCCAGCUGCAGGACCGUACCUGAUGUUUGUCCCAGUAUGGCUUAGGAUUUCACUCGCAUGGUGCAAGGAUUUUUGUUUCCUCUAGUUGAUUGAAUUGAAUUCUAAAGCAGAUCACUGUAGCCCGCUAUUCUGAUCGAAUAAGUUUUUUCUUUUUUCAUCGAAGUGUGAGAGCUGAAUAAGCUAAGGAGGAAACGAUCGAUCAUGUAGAAAGGGAAAAAUUGGGAUUAGUCUCUUUAUGCAUUAAACUGUUGACAGAUGAAUCAGGUGUCACCUUGCUUUGUCGUCGAAAAUUUUAACCGGAACUUCUCAUGUCGGUUUGUGUAUGAGAGUAAUAUAAUAUGGAAGAUGAACUAUCUAUUCUCUUCUUCUAUCAUUUACCUGGUACUACAGAACUGUCAUGUUUUAGUAAAUCGUUUAGAAGUACGUGAUGUGUACAAUCUUGGUUAUUUUCAUCUUGACCCUUUUCUGUAAGUAAUCAAUAAGACUUUUAGGAAACAGUGUCUCUUGUGCCAUAUUUCUUACUCAACUUUUAAUCUAAAAGGACAUGUCUUUUUAGUUAGGAAUUAUUUGGCCAUACUUAGACUAAGCUGGAGUCCCUGCCUUAUGCAUUUGUAGUUCAGCUUCAGUAGCCAUUCUAUUUGUCUGUUUUCGAUCACCAUAUGCCAAAAUAGCUUAAGGGCAUAUAGAUAAAUGUGUUUUCUCAAACAUAAGCCAUAACCCUUCAAGCACCUUCUGGGCUGCUGCUGCCCACUGCUUGUUGCACACCUGUACCACCUCUCUUCUGAGCCUUUACCCCGAUUGUGUCCAUCGGAUGAUUGCUAUGUUGAAAUUACUCCAGAUUAAUAUAUUGACUGGGUUUCGAAUCUCUGCUAGCAAUAUGAAUCUAAGUAAAUGGGGACACAAGCUGAACUUGAUGUAUGUGACGUGGGCAUGAGUGAGAAGCUCACUGUAAGUUGGACCAAACUCUCAGUAUAUGUGUGUAUUGUCUACUGCUAAGCUUGGCCAAGUUGCUCUCCUACCAAAAGGCACACUACAUCUGCCUCCGGUCCAUCCAACAUCAGGAACUUAUUUGGUCCUUGUGGGACUGCUGUUUCUUUUCCAAAUAAUGCGCAUUAUGGCAGAAUUUUAUCUAUUAUAUGUAAGAGAGUAUGUAGGAGAUAUACAAGGCCCAACUUGGCAAAUUACAAAAUUCUGAAACAAUUGGGCAGUUCCUUCAAUGUAGAUAUUAGGAUGGGUGUGAGUAAAGCUAUGUGCUCCCUAAUCUAGAAUAUAUCAGCAACCUUUUUUUUUUGUUUGUUGCACCAUGUACUCAAGAUGACUUUGAACUGUUUGGUUCUGCACAUGGCUUUCCUAAACUGUUUGCCUAAUUCUCUAAUCUGCUAGUGGUGUCACCUAGUCUGUCAAAUUUGCAAUAGAGCGCCUGGUUGUCGUUUUUAAGGACUUACUUUUUAGUCUGUUCCCAGCUUUUCAUGACUUUCUAAAUUUAGUUUUCUGAGAUACCCAAGGUUUAUGCUACUUGGAUGCUAGCACUAAUCAACUUCUUUAUUUUUUUUUUUUCUUGAAGCAAUUAUCAUGCAUGGUCGAUCACUCUUGCAGUCUACCUUGAACUGAGUUUCCAAUGUUAACAUGUGCCUCAGUUUGGUUUAAGUUUCCUUCUGAUCGUUUUAAAUAAUUGAAAAUUGCAGAGUGGAGGAGCCAAGAGAGCAGUGAAUGAGACCAGGAAUGCUCGACCAAGGUGGAGGAAUUACAAAAAACUGGAGAAGCGUUUUUUGUAAGUGAAACUUUAAAUUGCUUCCAUUUGAUUUCACCAAAUGGUAUGAUCCUAGUAUGUAACCUUUCCUGUGUUAUGUUUGUAUAAGGCGCGAUAUGGAGAAGGACAUGAAGAAUUUCAAGGAGCUUUCAUUAGCUAUGGACAACUUGCCAAGGAAUGUUGUACUCACUUCCUCUGUUGGUCUUGCGGUUUUGACAACCGGCUGGGCGUAUGCCAUUGGUGUUUUCGAUUGGAACAGAAUGGGGGACAAUGAACCUUCGGCUUAACAAGGUGUUGCGUAGAUGCACCUCAUGAAUAAUCUAUGAGACUUUUAUGUUUAUGUAAGAGGAAUGGAAUGGUGCGGACAAGG
rnacentral:lncRNA from 1 species